rnacentral:misc_RNA from 1 species
UUUCAAAAAAAAAAAAAAAAAUCCUUUUCUGAUAACUUUUUCAUAUCCAACUCAAAUAAAUAUCAAACUUGAGCCCCCAAAAAAAAUUUUAAAAGCAACUCAUUUAUCCAAAUCAGAACCACUGCCCAGUGAAAAAAUCACUAGAAUCAAACCCCAAACCCCAUUCCAUUUCUGGAUUUCAACUUUCGUUGCCAGUAACACCACCCCAAAAAAAAAAUACAAAAUCAAUCCACCAUUCGAGUUCGAGCACCACAACUCCCUCCAUCAGCUAAGAACUCAUCAUUCAUCAAAUCAAAAUAGAAAAUUAAAUAAAAAAACCGAAUUUCUAAAAAAACCAGCACAAAACCCAAAAAAAACAAAAACAAAUAAGAAAAAUAAAUAAAUAAAUAGAAGGAAAAUAAAAAUAAAAAGUACACUUAAAUACAACAAAGCUACAUAGAAAGAGAGGGAAACAGACGGAGGGAGGAAGAUAGGAAAUGACAAGCGGUGGGAUUUUUACUUACCUUUAAUAAUUUUAAUUUUCUUUU